rnacentral:lncRNA from 1 species
AUGGAUUCAAGUGACUCAAGAAACAUUCUAGAUCGGUCCACAGAAGGAAGUGGCAGCCCAGGCUCAGACUGUAAAGAAAGUGAGUUAGAAGGAAAAAGAAAAUCCCAAAGCCUACCUGAAGAAGCACCUUCUGCCCUGUCCAGUCCUGAUACUAAUAAGUCUGCAGAUGUUGACAGUCCAGACACCAGUCAAGCAACCUUGGCCAAGCACUACAAGGCCCUACAAACUUUGUAUAAAAGAAAAAAUCCAAACCACCAGGAUGUUUCUCAUCUCUUGGAUUUGGAAUUUGUAGCCAGGAGAUCAUUCAUUGAUUCAAAUACCGUUCGCGAGGAGGACAGACAUGAGAAGGUUCUAGAACCAAAUCCCUGUUUCAAGGACGUUGUACAUGUAAGUCAUUAUUGA